AUUGAACGCUGGCGGCAGGCCUAACACAAGUGCAAGUCGAGCGGUAGAGAGAAGCUUGCUUCUCUUGAGAGCGGCGGACGGGUGAGUAAUGCCUAGGAAUCUGCCUAGUGGUGGGGGAUAACGUUCGGAAACGGACGCUAAUACCGCAUUACGGUCCUACGGGAGAAAGCGGGGGAUCUUCGGACCUCGCGCCAUUAGAUGAGCCUAGGUCGGAUUAGCUAGUUGGUGAGGUAAUGGCUCACCAAGCCAACGAUCUGUAGCUGGUCUGAGAGGACGACCAGCCACACUGGAACUGAGACACGGUCCAGACUCCUACGGGAGGCAGCAGUGGGGAAUUUUGGACAAUGGACGCAAGUCUGAUCCAGCC
rnacentral:rRNA from 1 species